AGGACGGCGGAGUAAAAGGCGCCGGUGUUUAGUUUCUUAAGAAGAGAGAAAGGUCCCAAACUGCUGGAUGUGGUUUUAAAAGCUGAAACGAAGCUACACAGAGCAGGUCGGGGAGAAGAGGAGCAGAGCCGCGAGGAACUUUAACAUGAAGUCUGAGAGGAAGCUGUCAGCGGACCAGGGGACAGAUGUUGAGCAGCUGUUGGUGGUUGAAGAAGAGGUUCCCCCUG